rnacentral:rRNA from 1 species
CCUACGGGUGGCAGCAGUGAGGAAUAUUGGUCAAUGGACGCAAGUCUGAACCAGCCAAGUCGCGUGCAGGAUGACGGCCCUCCGGGUUGUAAACUGCUUUUAGUUGGGAAUAAAAGGGGGCUCGUGAGCCCCGUAUUGUAUGUACCAUCAGAAAAAGGACCGGCUAAUUCCGUGCCAGCAGCCGCGGUAAUACGGAAGGUUCGGGCGUGAUCCGGGUUUAUUGGGUUUAAAGGGGGCGUAGGGCGGCUUUUAAGGCAGCUGUGAAAGUCCGGGGCUCAACCGUGGAAUUGCAGUUGAAACUGGAGGCCUUGAGUGCACACAGGGAUGCCGGAAUUCAUGGUGUAGCGGUGAAAUGCUUAGAUAUCAUGAAGAACUCCGAUUGCGAAGGCAGUUCACUGGACUGCAACUGACACUGAGGCUCGAAAGUGUGGGUAUCAAACAGGAUUAGAUACCCCAGUAGUC